GCGCGCUCCCGUCCGCACCGUGCGCGCACCCGUCCGCACCGUGCUCGUGCCCGUCAUCAGUAGACGGUUAUGCGGUGCAGAAAUCAAGGAGGAGAAACCGCGUCGCUGACUGAGCCGGAAAAUCGGAAGUGACUUUCAGCAGAGACCUAUCUCAUUCGUUUUUACUUUUUUACCUGGCUGUGUGAUCAGACAGAUGAGAAACCCUUCAUAUAAAAAGAUGGCAAGUGAAUCAAAUUGGUGUUAGUUCCAGUGGGUCAUCAAUUUUGUCUUGUGUGUCGCUGUGGACGAAGUCUCCAAGCUGCAAAAGUGUAGUCAGUUUGCACAAAAGUGUGAGAUUGCGUGCCUCAUCCAACAAUUUGUCCUGCUGAGGAGCUGCUCAGGACUGUUUGCCAGCUCCCUACUUGGGGCAGAGACAGCGCCCCCACUCUCCUGCCAAAAUGGUGCUGUCACAGAGGCAACGAGAUGAACUAAAUCGAGCAAUAGCAGAUUAUUUGCGCUCUAAUGGUUAUGAAGAAGCAUAUUCUGUAUUUAAGAAGGAGGCAGAGAUGGAUGUGAAUGAAGAGUUGGAUAAGAAGUAUGCAGGCCUUUUGGAAAAAAAAUGGACUUCAGUCAUCAGAUUACAGAAAAAGGUAAUGGAGUUGGAGUCCAAACUAAAUGAAGCUACAGCGGAGAUCACUUUAGGAGGCCCUGUGGGACAGAAACGAGACCCCAAAGAGUGGAUCCCACGCCCGCCUGAGAAGUACGCCCUCAGUGGCCACAGAAGCCCUGUCACACGCGUCAUCUUCCACCCUGUGUUCAGCCUCAUGGUCUCCGCCUCAGAGGAUGCCACUAUAAAGGUUUGGGACUACGAGGCUGGGGAUUUCGAGCGCACCCUGAAGGGUCACACUGACUCAGUGCAGGACAUCUCCUUUGAUCAGACUGGAAAGCUGCUGGCUUCUUGUUCUGCAGAUAUGACCAUCAAACUCUGGGACUUCCAGGGUUUUGAGUGCAUCAGGACCAUGCACGGACAUGACCACAAUGUGUCGUCAGUUGCCAUCAUGCCCAACGGUGAUCACAUAGUGUCUGCUUCCAGGGAUAAGACCAUUAAAAUGUGGGAGGUGGCCACUGGUUACUGUGUGAAGACGUUCACGGGUCACAGGGAGUGGGUGCGUAUGGUCCGGCCCAAUCAAGAUGGCACACUGUUGGCCAGCUGCUCUAAUGACCAGACGGUGCGCGUGUGGGUGGUGGCCAACAAAGAGUGCAAGGCGGAGCUGCGGGAGCACGAGCACGUGGUGGAGUGUAUUUCCUGGGCCCCUGAGAGCGCACACCCCACCAUAUCUGAGGCUACAGGCUCUGAGAACAAGAAAAGUGGAAAGCCUGGGCCAUUCCUGUUAUCUGGAUCCAGAGACAAGACCAUUAAAAUGUGGGACAUAAGUACUGGCAUGUGCCUUAUGACACUGGUCGGUCAUGAUAACUGGGUGCGUGGAGUGCUGUUCCAUCCUGGUGGGAGAUUCGUAGUGAGCUGCGCUGAUGACAAGACCCUUCGUAUCUGGGACUAUAAGAACAAGCGCUGCAUGAAGACCCUGAGUGCCCAUGAACACUUUGUUACCUCUCUGGAUUUCCACAAGACUUCUCCUUACGUGGUGACAGGAAGUGUAGAUCAAACGGUCAAAGUGUGGGAAUGUCGCUGAUCGCCAUAGGGUCCGCCCCUUCCCUCCCCCCCCCAAAUGCCACCACUUUGGCCACUCCCACACCUGCUCUUCAGGAUGCACUCAUUACUGUGGUUACCACCUCAUCCAGCUCUCUUCUAAUAACUAUUGUCCUUUUAUGUAAAUUACUCUGGAUGUAGUUUGAGCUUAUUAAAUGUUACACAACACACUCACAAGGAAAAAACAGAAAUAAGUAAAACGUAAAACAAGUAUUCUUGCAUGGUGAAUCCAAACCUUGUAUACUGUAAAUUUUUGCUUCUCCUCAUCUAAAGUACCGUAGGGAUGCAGAGCACAGGUGAUGCUCUUGCCUCAAGCGUUUAUGAACAGAAGGCAGAAUGAUGCUGUUUGGGGAAUUCAGGAUACAGGGCCCUCAAAAUCGUUCUGUUGGACCUUUACGUUUUCUUUCCCGACGAUUGUCACAUUCUGCUUUAAAGAAAAGAAAGACUUUUAAACAUUUAAACUGACUGAAGAUGAACAGCUUGACUUGUCUGUUCUGGGGGUCUGUAAUGUAAUUUAACCAUAUGAACGCCUGGAUGCUUAGUUCUCCCCUUUACAAGAAGAUUCUCAUUUGACAUGCGUCACUUUAAGAAGAGGUAACAACUUCAGUUCACAUUAUUGAACCAUUCUCAUCCACAGCUCAUCCACGAAGUCCUUUUCCAUUCUAAAAACAGGUUUGAGACCUUUUGAAGCCGUUUGGGCAAAUCUACAUGCGAUCCCCUUUGAAAAGAAGUGCAGAAAACACAAUAUGAGAAAAGGAUUGCUUUUAUAAGGACAUGAAUCGGUAAAGUGCACUUGUCCCUGGAAAAAUAGGGUUUACAUUUUGUUUCUCUCUCUCUCGCUCUUUUUUUUUUUUUUGUGUGUACAAAGCAUAUAAUUCUGACACCCUCCAUCGCCACACAGUCUGAUUUAGUACCUCUGCCCACAUUCUGCCUCACUAUUCUCGAAAAUGACUUAAUUCGGUCAUAGGUCUCAUUAACCCCUUCUUGCAAAACACCCUUCGUCAUUGAUAUAGCGCUUUCAUUGCUUUGUCAUUCUGCUGCUUGCUUGCACCAUCUGCUGCCUGUCCGCGCGUUUGUGAAGACUUCACGAGACAUAGCCCAUACAGGCUUUUUGACGUACUCUGUGGUACUGCUCAGUGACCUUGAGCUAUCUAGUCAGUCUCUUGAUUCAGGGAGGUUUUUGGCAUUGCAGAGGAAGGCACUGUCCUGGACCUUGUGGAGUUUGAGGACGACACCUCCACCGUAGAUCGACGUGCAAUAUCUAUAGGCUGCUCUGUGUGUUAACUAUUAAGGUGUGCAUGUGUUUUCUAUGAACACAUUUAUAGGAAGAUGGCCUCCUGAUCAGAUUAAUGGGGCAGACAGACGGAGCGAGUUUGAAAAUUUCUCCACUGGCUGCAGUACAAGGCAACAGUUAGUAACUUAUAAGACUACAUCAGUGGCGAGUAGUUUGCUGUGCUUGCUGGUCCGCAGCGUACUGUUUCCAACAGUAGAGUCAUGUAUGCCCAACCACUGCCAUCCCAAAGCUGUAUAUGUAGAAGCUUUGGAUGUGUGUGUGUGUGUGGACGUCACUUCCUGUCUGUGAGCACACAGCGGACUCUGACUCCAGCUAUUCGCUUUCUCUGCCUUGUUACUGUACUGAGAAUCCCCAAUAUCGAGGACUUCAUUCUGCUUUUUGUGGUCUCACUGUUGACACAUACUCGUGCACUUACAUAAAUAACUGUCCAUCGGUAUAUCUUGAUGUCAUUGUUUGCAAUAUAA